CAGUUCAUCUCGAUAGACCUUUACUUGGCCAUCCAACUUAUAUCUCCAGCUUUGAAGAUCUGUUUUCAAGCUCUGAAUCCUAGUGAGCAGCUCUUGCCUUGACUCAGUCAAUUCCUUAAUUUUGGAGCUAGCCGGCACCACAUUCUCCUUCUUUGCAGAGAGUGGAGAAGCAGCAGAAGCAGGAACAGGUAGAGUAGAAUCGGGGUUUGCCAUCAAAAAAUAGGAAUUGAAGAUUAGUUUCCAAUUGUUUAGAGACCUUGAACCAGAACCAGAACCAGAACCAAAGAGAGAAGUAAAAGGGCACAAGAAAUUGAAAAUUAGUCGAUGGAGGAGGAUCUGAUUGUGGAUGUGAGUUGGGCGGGCGAUUUUAUGGAUUGACAAAAUUUGAAAUUGGGGAAG
rnacentral:misc_RNA from 1 species